rnacentral:lncRNA from 1 species
AAAAUAAAUAAAACAUCAAAAGAUUUUCCUUUGCAGUUUUGAUGAGCAUGAUUUCCAAAUGGAUUCAGGGAGGAGGGAAUGAAAAAUCGAUGUCGAUGACACAGAGGUCAGAAACAUUUGGCUGGAGGCGCUAGUAACCAAGUGCAAAAGAAGGUUUCCCAAAGCAUGGCUUAUGGGCUACUCACAUAAGUACCUGAGGAAGCUAAAUGCAAUUCAGUUUCCAGCUCCUUCUCUAAUUUUACUAAGAAUUUGAGAACAGACUCCAGAAGCAAUUUUGUUGACCAAGAGCACCCAACAGAAUUGGCAACGAGAAGAGCGUGGCGCAGUACCCGGGAAGCGUUAAAUGCUAGAAAGCUCCGUAGGUGAUGCUGACAGAUGACACUGGGGCAUUGGCAAGAUUCGAGUAUGCAUAUAUGCACAAAGAGAAAAAUCCCUCCCUAUCCCCCAAGAGGAUGAAGGUUCUGGAGAGAAAUGGGCUCUGA